GGCCCUCUGGGGGAGCAGCCUGAGACGC
rnacentral:sRNA from 1 species